GGGGUUGUGGCUCAGUGGUAGAGUGCUUGCCUGCCAUGUGUGAGGCCCUGAGUUCAAUCCUCAGCACCA
rnacentral:tRNA from 1 species